GAAUAUGAUCUCGUUGGUGACCAGCGGAGGGACAUUACAGAGUUAUCCAACUCCCAAACCCAUGUGAACAUAUCUCUUUGUUGCCUCGGCGCAAGCUACCCGGGACCUCGCGCCCCGGGCGGCCCGCCGGCGGACAAACCAAACUCUGUUAUCUUCGUUGAUUAUCUGAGUGUCUUAUUUAAUAAGUCAAAACUUUCAACAACGGAUCUCUUGGUUCUGGCAUCGAUGAAGAACGCAGCGAAAUGCGAUAAGUAAUGUGAAUUGCAGAAUUCAGUGAAUCAUCGAAUCUUUGAACGCACAUUGCGCCCAUUAGUAUUCUAGUGGGCAUGCCUGUUCGAGCGUCAUUUCAACCCCUAAGCACAGCUUAUUGUUGGGCGUCUACGUCUGUAGUGCCUCAAAGACAUUGGCGGAGCGGCAGCAGUCCUCUGAGCGUAGUAAUUCUUUAUCUCGCUUCUGUUAGGCGCUGCCCCCCCGGCCGUAAAACCCCCAAUUUUUUCUGGUUGACCUCGGAUCAGGUAGGAAUACCCGCUGAACUUAAGCAUAUCAAAA
rnacentral:rRNA from 1 species